rnacentral:rRNA from 1 species
AUUGAACGCUGGCGGAAUGCUUUACACAUGCAAGUCGAGCGGCAGCGCGGGGCAACCUGGCGGCGAGCGGCGAACGGGUGAGUAACACAUCGGAACGUGCCCAGACGUGGGGGAUAGCCCGGCGAAAGCCGGAUUAAUACCGCAUACGAUCUAAGGAUGAAAGCGGGGGACUCGCAAGGGCCUCGCGCGUUUGGAGCGGCCGAUGGCAGAUUAGGUAGUUGGUGGGGUAAAGGCUUACCAAGCCUGCGAUCUGUAGCUGGUCUGAGAGGAUGAUCAGCCACACUGGGACUGAGACACGGCCCAGACUCCUACGGGAGGCAGCAGUGGGGAAUUUUGGACAAUGGGCGCAAGCCUGAUCCAGCCAUGCCGCGUGCGGGAGAAGGCCUCGGUUGUAACGCUUUGUCAGGAGAAAGACGCAGUAAUACUUGCGUCAUGACGGUACC